CCUACGGGAGGCAGCAGUCGAGAAUCAUUCACAAUGGGGGAAACCCUGAUGGUGCGACGCCGCGUGGGGGAAUGAAGGUCUUCGGAUUGUAAACCCCUGUCAUGUGGGAGCAAAUUAAAAAGAUAGUACCACAAGAGGAAUAGCCGGCUAACUCUGUGCCAGCAGCCGCGGUAAUACAGAGUUCUCAAGCGUUGUUCGGAAUCACUGGGCGUAAAGCGUGCGUAGGCUGUUUCGUAAGUCGUGUGUGAAAGGCGCGGGCUCAACCCGCGGACGGCACAUGAUACUGGGAGACUAGAGUAAUGGAGAGGGAAGCGGAAUGCGCGGUGUAGCAGUGAAAUGCGUAGAUA
rnacentral:rRNA from 1 species